UCAACUGUUGGUCAUCCAUGGGUCAUCUGUUGGUCAACCAUGGGUCAAACGUUGACCAACUGCUGGUCAAAUAUUGGUCAACCAUUGGUCAACCGUAGGUCAGCUGUCAGUCAACUGUUGGUCAACCAUUGGUCAUCUGUUGGUCAACCAUGGGUCAAACGUUGGCCAUCUCUUGGUCAGCCAUUGGUCAUCUGUUGGUCAACUAUGGGUCAAACAUUGGCC
rnacentral:lncRNA from 1 species